GGGCUAGCUUUGGCAGCACAUAUACUAAAAUUGGAAUGAUACAGAGAAGAUUAACAUGGCCCCUGUGCAAGGAAGACAUGCAAAUUCGUGAAGCGUUACAUAUUUUU